GCGAAGCGGUGACGUGGAGCAAACCUCAGAAAAGCCAAUCUCAGUUCGGAUUGUAGGCUGCAACUCGCCUACAUGAAGUUGGAAUCGCUUGUAAUCGCGAAUCAGAAUGUCGCGGUGAAUACGUUCCCGGGUCUUGUACACACCGCCCGUCACACCACGAGAGUUUACAACACCCGAAGCCAGUGGCCUAACCGCAAGGAGGGAGCUGCCUAAGGUGGGGUAGAUGAUUGGGGUGAAGUCGUAACAAGGUAUC
rnacentral:rRNA from 1 species